UUCACAAUGUCUAUUGAAGGAUCUCAUCACGUUUAGAGAGCUGUGGUCAUGCUCCCUAAAGUGAAUUUGGAGGUUUUAUACAC
ensembl:snoRNA